UACGUAGGGAGCAAGCGUUGUCCGGAAUCAUUGGGCGUAAAGCGCGCGUAGGCGGCCCCGUAAGUCCGCUGUGAAAGUCAAAGGCUCAACCUUUGAAAGCCGGUGGAUACUGUGGGGCUAGAGUACGGAAGAGGCGAGUGGAAUUCCUGGUGUAGCGGUGGAAUGCGCAGAUAUCGGGAGGAACACCAGUGGCGAAGGCGGCCACCUCGGACCAGCACUGACACUGAGGCACGAAAGCGUGGGGAGCAAACAGGG
rnacentral:rRNA from 1 species